UCCCCGGGGGACCGCGCGCACGCGGUUGAGAGGCGGCUGUCCGGCCGCGACCCGCUGAACCUGAUCCGGCUGACACCGGCGUAGGGAGGGA
rnacentral:ncRNA from 2 species